rnacentral:rRNA from 1 species
UACGUAGGGCGCAAGCGUUGUCCGGAAUUAUUGGGCGUAAAGAGCUCGUAGGCGGUUUGUCGCGUCUGCUGUGAAAGCCCGGGGCUCAACCCCGGGUCUGCAGUGGGUACGGGCAGACUAGAGUGCAGUAGGGGAGACUGGAAUUCCUGGUGUAGCGGUGAAAUGCGCAGAUAUCAGGAGGAACACCGAUGGCGAAGGCAGGUCUCUGGGCUGUUACUGACGCUGGAGGAGCGAAAAGCAGUGGGGAGCGAAACAGGGAAUUAGAUACCCCGGUGUCAAGUCC